CCGCACAAGCGGUGGAUUAUGUGGUUAAUUCGAUGCAACGCGAAGAACCUUACCUGGACUUGACAUGUUAGUGAAAACUCCGGUGAAAACCGGAGUCUCCGCGAGCUUGCUCAAGGACACUAUCCCAGGUGAUGCAUGGCUGUCGUCAGCUCGUGUCGUGAGAUGUUCGGUUAAGUCCGAUAACGAGCGCAACCCCUAUCCUUAGUUGCCAGCACGUAAUGGUGGGGACUCUAGGGAAACUGCCCGGGAUAACCGGAAGGAAGGUGGGGUCGACGUCAAGUCAGUAUGUCCCUUACGUUCAGGGCUACACACGUAAUACAAUGGGGAGUACAGAGGGUAGCAAAACUGCGAAGUAGAGCCAAUCCCAAAAAACUCCCCCAAGUUCGGAUUGCAGUCUGCAACUCGACUGCAUGAAGCAGGAAUCGCUAGUAAUCGCGCAUCAGCAUGGCGCGGUGAAUACGUUCCCGGGUCUUGUACACACCGCCCGUCACGCCAUGGAAGCCGGUAGCACCCAACGUCAGUGUCCUAACCUUCGGGAAGGAGCUGCUUAAGGUGAGAUUGGUAACUGGGGCGAAGUCGUAACAAGGUA
rnacentral:rRNA from 1 species